rfam:Triticum aestivum genome assembly, contig: Triticum_aestivum_CS42_TGACv1_scaffold_501867_6BL
AAAGUACUCCCUCCGUGCCAAAAUUCUUGUCUUAGAUUUGUAUAGAUACAGAUGUAUCAAGUCACAUUUAGUAUUAGAUACAUCUGUAUCUAGACAAAUCUAAGACAAGAAAUUUGGGACACAGGGAAUAGUUG